AGGAAUCAAACCCAGGGCUUCAUGCAUGCUAGGCAAGAACUCUACACUAAGCCACAUUCCCAGCCCCAGGAGAAAGGACUUCUGGAGCCAGCCUCUGUGGGUUGAAAACACAGCACCAACACUCACCAGUUCUCUGACUUUGGGUCAAUGGCAAAACUGACCUUAUAGGGUAGAUGUGAGGAUUAGUGGAGUUAAUUUAUGUAAAAUGCUUACAACAGUAUCUGCACAAAGCAACUACCAUAUAAAAUGUAGCUCUAAUUUCUGUGGUGCAUGUUGCAAAUUUAUCCAAUGAAUUAAACAGCCUAUAGGUUUGAGACAGCUCUAUUGUAGAGAUUCAAGGAUAUUAUGACUUAUUUGCAAUAACAAUUCUUAGGAAAACAUUGGGCAGAAAGGAGAUCUGGGACCAGAAUGUCUCUAGCUAUACUGGUGUGGAGAACUUGGCAGAGGAGGAGAACUACACUGCAGAUGUUUCUCUCUGGCUGCCAUGCCCUUUGAGGCACAUGACCUAGGAUGAGUAGAAACUCACUGGGUGUGGGAAACACUUGUGGACUGUCCUAGCCUCAUUAUAUCACGACACAAAAACAGAUUCUUCUUCAAGUAGGCUCCAAAGCCAUUUAAGAAAUUCACCUAAGUAUGAAGAUUUAGUUCAAUGAGAGAGUGCUUGCCUAGCACAAUAAAGAAAAAAACAACAAGAAACAGUUGGGGGAUUUCUAUUAAGUAACAAAGCAGGGCAAAGACUUCCCUAGGCAUGUUUUUGCUUCAUUAUAUAGAAUACUAAUCAAGACAGGCAGUCAUAGAUAACUUAUACUAUAGCAAGGCAUGGAGGCACUCAUCACCCAGGCUGAUCACACUGCAAAGAUAGCUGUGGAUCGCUCUUGUUUUGUGAGAGCUCACAGUGUUCCUUCCUCCCUUCUGACUAGAAACUCUGUACUGUAUCCUCUUCUGUUCCCUGGUCAGUACUCCAUGUAACUGACAUAUUCUUUCUCUUUCUUGCUUCCCAUUCCUCAGUACCCAGGCUUUAGCUCCUUAAAUCACAGCAUAUAUGUGUUUAGCCAAAUAAUUUCUUACAUUAAGAUUCCUCUGAGUCUAUUACAACACAUGGCUCCUAAAGGAAUGAUGGGAAGGGGGCCAAAGGGAGGGAAGCAUGGGGAGGGAAUAGAUUAAAAGCCAUUUUAGGGAGAACAAUGUUUAUAGAAUAUCACCUUACUCUAGGGAUUGCAGCCAGGGCAUGGUAAAUGGGCACCUUUCCCCUUAUUAAAAACAAUGUGUUAUCCACUGCUAGGUAAGUCUCUGUCACAACUAGAAAGAGUUGGCAGCAUGAGAACACAGAGUAAGAGUGUAAAAGAUUUCAAGAAGCAAGGGGAGGGCAUGGCACCAUGCCAGAAUUUAUCACUAUUAUGGAGCCUGGUUUGACAUAGUCAUUGUAUAGAGCAGGUUUCAUGUGUAUCAUUACAUCAGUAUCCAAGGAGGCGGAGUAUUAGAAAAGGACUCUAUCUGAGCGUCUUUUGUUAACUGACAUAAAAGAUCCAAGGGCUGGGGUGUAGGAUUAUCCUCCUGUGAAUUCUCAGCACAUUUGGUGAGCUC